GGGAAAAGCUGAGAAUGCAA
rnacentral:siRNA from 1 species